NNNNNNNNNNNNNNNNNNNNNNNNNNNNNNNNNNNNNNNNNNNNNNNNNNNNNNNCCCAGUGCUCGAAAUGUCAAGCUGCCGAAGGGCAGUAACGCACGGGUUAACGGCGGACGUAACUAUGACGUUCUUAAGGUAGCCAAAUGCCUCGUCAUCUAAUUAGUGACGCGCAUGAAUGGAUCAACUAGAUUCCCACUGUCCCUACUUACUUCUAGUGAAACCACAGCCAAGGGAACGGGCUUGGAAAGAACAGCGGGGAAAGAAGACCCUAUUGAGCUUGACUCUAGUGUGCAAGCGGUAGAUCAUGGUGGCGGUGUAGACAGGUGGGUGCGUGAAAGACCACUGCGUUUUUGUGAUGUACCUAUUGUUGCAGAUGGGGAGUUUGGCUGGGGCGGCACAUCUACUAGAAAGCAACGUAGAUGUCCUAAGGUAGACACUGGGAGGACGGAAACCUCGCUUUGCGCACAAGGGCACAAGUCUGCUUAAUACUUAAUAUAUUGCGAAAGCACGGCCUAGCGAUCCCCUAGGCUGCGGUCUGUGCACCUAGGGGUGACAGAAAAGUUACCAUAGGGAUAACUGGUUUGUUGCGUAUAAGCGUCCUUAGCGUCUACGCAGUUUGAUUCUUCGAUGUCGGCUCUUCCUAUCAUUGCGAAGCAGGAUUCGCAAAGUGUUGGAUUGUUCACCCAUAAGAAGGGAACGUGAGCUGGGUUUAGACCGUCGUGAGACAGGUUAGUUUUACCCUACUGUUCGGAGCCUGCAAGCAGUGCGUACAAGUACGAGAGGAACGUAUUCACGGGACCACUGGUUACGCGCUUAUCUGACAAGGUACGGUGCUCCGCUACGUCCUCGCAGUUAACGGCUGAAAGCCUCUAAGCCGGAAACUGCCCUUGCGCAGGCUCGAGCUCCGCUCAAAGACGAUGAGCGUAAGAAUAGUGAAGCUGUACGUGUGCGAGCUGUUGCGAGACACUGAGGCUGCUAAGUUCUUCCGGGGCGCAUGUGCAGAAGCUACUUGCAAGUGGUUGCACAGGAACGAAACUAUUUAUUGGAUACAGUUUGUGUAUCUUUUUUAUAGUAUAAUUUAAAACUUUUUGAAAAUUUUGGCCGCGCCGUUGAGUUUCUUAUGUGGGAUUUUUGCCCCUUUUGGAGGGGGUCUGGACCCCCAGUGGACCCGCUAGUACGUUUAAUAGAGUGUACUCGGUUAUUAGAGUGGA
rnacentral:ncRNA from 1 species